CCCGCUGCUUCCGCUGCCGCGCUGUUGUCGGCGAUCUUCUUCGAGUCGCUUCUCUCCUCCAUGAUUAACGCCUAACAAACAAGAACAGGAGCAUAAUGACAUGAUCGAUCCACAUAGACGGAGAGCAAAGAAAUAAAAGAUCAGAUGGACAUAUUUGAUCAGCAAAUGAUACAUAAAAAAGGAGUAGCAAGCUGCAUGCAAGUUUUUUGUUUAGGUGAUAUGAUCAUGCUUGAGAAAAUUGGCCUUCAUGGGUUGAAUGUGAAGAUCAUCUCUGCAGGCGCCUGCAGAUGGUGAGCUCUUGUGAUAAGAUAGCAUUCUGAGAAGUGCCAUGGAAACACAUGCCACUACUGAACAAUCAAAUAGAGCUAUUUAAAGACUCGGGAAACACUGAAAAGGGGAUUUCUAUCCUUCUAUUGGAGCUUCUAGUGGUAUAUUAUUAGCUCGGUCUAUUAAUUUAGCAAAUGUUCAGGUGCUAUCUAAACACCCUUAUUUUAUUCAUGAAAGAACUCAAUUAAAUAAUGAUAAACCUUGGUUUAUGUUAGGUAUUAAUGCUAGUACUUCUGUUGUUUAUAAAAAUAAUGAAAUUCUCUUUCUGAUUUAAACUUCUUCGACAUUUCUUGGUGUAUUUUAGAAGAUUUCAAUUAUAUUUUAAAUUCACAUGAUAAAAUUGGUGAUAAAAUAUUUGUUAUUAACUGCUCUACUUGUGUUUUCCAUGAAUUUAUAAAAAAUUAUGAUUUAACUUAUUCUAGUUCUAAUUAUACAUACUGUAUUAAUCAUACUGGCUAUGCUAGAAUCUCUGUUAGAUUAGAUUGUGUCUUUGGUAAUUUUAUCGUAGAUGAAUAUUUAUGGCAAAUUUUCUGUUUAUCAUUUUUUGAGACUUCAUUCUGAUCAUGAUCAUGUUAAAUAUUAAGUCUACUUAGUUAAUUUGUAAUAAUUUUUUUUAUUAUUGAUGGGCGUAUUCGUAUAGUUUUGUCCUUUCGGAACAUGUGAGCUCCAAAAGGUGCCUCUGAAGGUAAGAGAGACCUGGCGGACUUAUGAGCCCUUGAUUCUCAUACUCCUCAACCAAUGUGGGACUAAAUGACUUUAUCAGUGCUCUCUCCCAUAGGGGAGCUAAGGGCUUAUAACCAAGGUGCACGACUCGGGAGCGAGUUUGCUUGGCCGAGGUGUAGGCCU